rnacentral:rRNA from 1 species
UACGGGGGGGGCAAGCGUUGUCCGGAAUUACUGGGCGUAAAGGGCGCGUAGGCGGUUCUCUAAGUUAGAUGUGAAAACUCUGGGCUCAACCCAGAGCCUGCAUCUAAAACUGGAGUGCUAGAGUUCUGGAGGGGGUAGCGGAAUUCCUGGUGUAGCGGUGAAAUGCGUAGAUAUCAGGAGGAACACCGGUGGCGAAGGCGGCUCCCUGGACAGAAACUGACGCUGAGGCGCGAAAGCUAGGGGAGCAAACAGG